AAAUUGAAGAGUUUGAUCAUGGCUCAGAUUGAACGCUGGCGGCAGGCCUAACACAUGCAAGUCGAACGGUAACAGGAAGCGCUUGCUGCUUCGCUGACGAGUGGCGGACGGGUGAGUAAUGUCUGGGAAACUGCCUGAUGGAGGGGGAUAACUACUGGAAACGGUAGCUAAUACCGCAUAACGUCGCAAGACCAAAGAGGGGGACCUUCGGGCCUCUUGCCAUCGGAUGUGCCCAGAUGGGAUUAGCUUGUUGGUGGGGUAACGG
rnacentral:rRNA from 2 species